rnacentral:rRNA from 1 species
UACAGAGGUGGCGAGCGUUGUUCGGAUUUAUUGGGCGUAAAGGGUCUGUAGGCGGUCAGGUAAGUCGGAUGUGAAAUCCCACAGCUUAACUGUGGAACUGCAUUCGAAACUCCCUGACUAGAGUAUGAGAGAGGUAAAGGGAAUUCCCGGUGUAAGGGUGAAAUCUGCAGAGAUCGGGAGGAACACCAGUAGCGAAGGCGCUUUACUGGCUCAUUACUGACGCUGAGGGACGAAAGCUAGGGGAGCAAACGGG